GUAGGUGAACCUGCGGAAGGAUCAUUAUUACGUAUCCACGUAUCAAACCAAAUCGUGAACUGUUUCCCGUCUGAUGAGGAUCUCUGCGAGUGGUCGAACAUUAUUAAAUGCAUGGUGAGGGCAUUUUCUUGAGGCUAACAACUUCAAGAAAAUUAGUCUUCGAAAGACACUCGGUCCUGGUUGAGCAAUCAGCCAGCUCAUUGGAUGUGGUUAAUUUCAAUCACUGUGCUACACACUAUUAACCCCUUGU
rnacentral:misc_RNA from 1 species